AAGAAGCUCCCAACACAUUAGCUGAGUUGAUAGAUUGGCAACAAAUUCUGGGAAGAUUUACAAAACACAAAGAUUAGUACAUAUGUUGUGAAGAUUUACAAAAGACAAAGAUUAUUAGUACAUAUAUAGUGUAUAUAGAACAUGGAAGUAUUAUACAGGACAGAUCUAUCUAUUACUAUCAUGUAUAUACUAUAACUUAGGAAUUAAGAAACAAUAGAGUUGGGGAUGAAGAGAUACGAGAUGGCAGACAUAACUUCCCAAAUGAAUCCUACUACUGCACAACUUAUCAUAGGCGCAGGCAAAAUUUCCCAUAUACAUACACCAAUCUAACAAAUCAUCAACGGACAACUCUACGAGACCAUCGAACAACGCUGAAUUAGACGGUCUAAAUGGAAAAAAAAUCUAUGCAGAGAUCGUGUAUAAGUAAAACCCAUGGAGCACAGGCUAGAGGUGUCCAAUCAUGCUGAUGCUAAAAUCCUUCCGUCUAAUCAAUCUGCUCACGGCACAUGGUAGACGGAGAUGUUUGAUCCGGCUGUUUACGCGAGUUCGAUCCAACUGAUCGUCACUUCGUCAGCUAGGACAGACACAAAGGGACACACGGAGAUCGUCAUGUAAACGUGUCAGUCCUGCAUAGAAUUUUUUCCCUGGUCGAGAUGAAAAAAUCCCUAUAGCAAAAGAGAACUAAAGCCGGCACCUACGAAACCAUUGGCACUCUAAUACGAGUACCGCAAGUGGAUAAUCCCGCUGAGACUCGAGGCUGCCAGCGAGUAAAAUCCGACCAGCGCGAGGCGGCGAGCACGACGUCAGGGAAACGGGCCCCGCGGGGAUCAGAUCGCUCACCUCCGGGCGGGGCGGGGCAGAGGGCGCGCGGCGCGGAAGCGCAGGUGCCCCCGUGACGGGGUAGGCGUGGCAGCGGGGGCGAAGGGCAGGAGGCCGUGGUGGGAAGCGGCGAGCGCCAUGGGUGGGUGCGCGCAAUCUGGUGUGGAGCGGGGCGGAGAGGCGUGCGGCG
rnacentral:lncRNA from 1 species